rnacentral:rRNA from 1 species
AUUGAACGCUGGCGGCAUGCCUUACACAUGCAAGUCGAACGGCAGCGGGGGAGAAGCUUGCUUUUCCUGCCGGCGAGUGGCGAACGGGUGAGUAAUACAUCGGAACGUGCCCUGUAGUGGGGGAUAACUAGUCGAAAGAUUAGCUAAUACCGCAUACGACCUGAGGGUGAAAGUGGGGGACCGCAAGGCCUCAUGCUAUAGGAGCGGCCGAUGUCUGAUUAGCUAGUUGGUGGGGUAAAGGCCAACCAAGGCGACGAUCAGUAGCUGGUCUGAGAGGACGAUCAGCCACACUGGGACUGAGACACGGCCCAGACUCCUACGGGAGGCAGCAGUGGGGAAUUUUGGACAAUGGGCGAAAGCCUGAUCCAGCAAUGCCGCGUGUGUGAAGAAAGCCUUCGGGUUGUAAAGCACUUUUGUCCGGAAAGAAAUGGCUCUGGUUAAUACCUGGGGUCGAUGACGGUACCGGAAGAAUAAGGACCGGCUAACUACGUGCCAGCCGCCGCGGUAA